ensembl:lncRNA
GGGGCGGUAGGCAGUGUGGGCAGCUGCUUCAUCAAGGCAAGUGUCUUCAUCAAGGCGCCCAGGCCCCAGCUGGGUCGCACUGCACCAGCUCCUCCAAUCUAGCAGUCGGUGGAUUCCCUCUUAACUCUCCUCCCCUCCCUUUCCCCAUGUGGCCACCAGGGAAGACUGCAGCAGGUAUAUUCUUGCUCUGCCUGUGAUGAGGUGUUGGCUGGGCCCCGUCUGCCUGAAGGUCGCGACCCGCUUCCUUAGAGGCCUUUACUCUAGGGGUGGUCUAGAAUGACUCCUCCAGCCCAGCGAGAAGAUUUCAGCCGAUGAGAAAGAAAUAGGAGGAAAUGGAAGCCUGUCCUUUGCUCACAACCUGCUGAUCAGAACUUGGUCACAUGGACAAAUCCAUAUGCAAAAAUGUUUUGCUCUGAACCAUUCCCAGGAGUUGGAAGUAGGCCACGGGAACUUCACAUCACAAAAUACUCAGCCACCCACUCUUCCUGAUCACAUCCCUGCCUGAUGUCCUGUAUUUGGCUGACACUUCACUCUGCCAUGGAGGCCAGUUUUGAUGAGUCCUAUUUCCCAUAGACUCACUUGUGCUUUUGCCUUGUAAAUUUUCAGGGAAUGUGAGGUUACCUCUGAUCCAGAGACCAUCAUUUCACCUUCUCCUGGGGGCCUGCGUCUAAAGAGGAACUGUACACUGACCUACUAAACUAGUUUUGUGCAUGUUACUGUUUUAUGAAGCAAAACAAUGUAUGGUAGAGGAAUAUUAGGUAUUAGGAAUUGUAAGGAUAAUUCUAGAGACUUGAAGAUAACUCACAUAGAAGUCAGGCAGAGGUUAUCUCUGUGGAGGAGGGUGGGGGAUAUAAUUGUGGAAGGGCCUCCAGGGAGCAUUAUGGAAUCCUCAUAAAAUAUUGUU